CCAUCUUUCCCCUCUCAAAACGGCGCCGGAGAAUUCCUUCUCCGAGCGGCCACCGUCGCAAGAGGCUAACCAAACCACCGUCUCCUUCCGUCUCUUAUUGUUCCCUCCAAAACAUCUUUGAUUCAAACAAAACUUAGAAUCCCCAAUUCGAACCCUAACUUACUCAGAUUGAAAUCAAACAAAAAGCUGACCCUAAACUCAUUCAAACAUUGCACCAUGGGAUUCAAACAACGAUGCUAUGCCAUGAACAGAGAGGAUUGAAGAGGUUUUAGGCUUACCUGGAGUGGAGAACAAACGCGAAGCGGAAAGAAUACCAGAGAGAUUCCAAGAGCUCCAAAUGCGAAACAAACGCGAGGAAACGGAGAAAUUAUUCAGAUUUAGCAUCACCGCGAUCGGUUCCAACGUUCAUUCUGUUUCCUGUCCUGAGAACAACCUCAAGGAGUUUGAGGAAUAGCCGGCUGUUAUUUAGUUCCUCAUUUGCUGCCUCCAGGGUUGUUGGUGAUGUAGAACAUGGUCGGGCAUGCCUUGAAAUUGAGUUUGGAGCGGCAAGGCAUUAUGUACAAAGAAGUGGAUCUGAUUUUGAUUAGGCGACAAAGGCGGAACAUGACUCAGGGAUACACCUUGGCUCAUAGAAACUUGGCCUUAGCAAUUUAGGAUUUAAGAACAUGUCUUGUAAUCUUCCUCUCUUAUAAUGUUUUUUUUCUGUAAUGACUAUCACGUACAUUUUCGGAAGUAGAACCAUGAAUGGCACUUGCAAAUUCUUGAAUAAACCUUGCUCUCAUUGGA